UACAGAGGGGGCGAGCGUUGUUCGGAAUUACUGGGCGUAAAGGGUGCGUAGGCGGUUCGUUAAGUCUGUCGUGAAAUCCCCGGGCUCAACCUGGGAAUGGCGAUGGAUACUGGCGAGCUAGAGUGUGUCAGAGGAUGGUGGAAUUCCCGGUGUAGCGGUGAAAUGCGUAGAGAUCGGGAGGAACAUCAGUGGCGAAGGCGGCCAUCUGGGACAACACUGACGCUGAAGCACGAAAGCGUGGGGAGCAAACAGG
rnacentral:rRNA from 1 species